CAUUGUGUGGUCCUAUCUUCAUUGUCAGACUUAUGUCCUUGCAGGCCAGACACCAUGGCUGGUUCACUGCUCUGCUCCCAGUGGCUGGAGCAGUGAAUGGGCCCAUUUGAUGCUCAGUACAUGUUUGUUGAAUUGUAUUAACAUUGAGUUGCUGUGAUGGACAGAAUGCAGUGGGUAGAAAGGGCCUGUGGAUCAGGAUUCUUCAGGGUCCAGUUGGAACAAUGCUUCACUGCUCCGUGAUGUCUGGGGCCAUAGAUGGGCUUUCAGAGUCUGGACUUCUGGGGACAGUGAAGUUCAUGCUCCAACUUGUGGGAUUCCUUGCAUUCCCUUAUGAGCCUUGGAGAACAGCGGCGGGAUCUUCGGGGAAGAUGCAGACUCCUCUUUUCUCCAGGGAGGGAGAGGAUGGGGUGAAACUCCCUCUGAGCACAGAAAACCACAGCCAGACAGAGGGAAAAAGACAUCAGAGUGCCGUGGGGCUCCAGCCUGACGCCUAGGGAAGUGGAAAAGCAGCUUCCAGACCUGGAGAGUCCCAAAAUAGUGCUGCUUGUUGACCUCAAUGAUUUUAGAGAAAACCUCUCCUCCCCUGGGCUCUGGGUAGACAACUUGUCUGGGGAUGAGAGGAAAUCAAAGUUGAGCCCUUUCUUUGACCUGGCACCUGAAGCAACAUUUCUGAAAAUAAAGGACCCAAAGUGUGUUUAUUAAAAAUGUACUAUGUAUGAGCAGCCAU